rnacentral:hammerhead_ribozyme from 1 species
AUCCAGCUGACGAGUCCCAAACAGGACGAAACGCUUUCCUGGAU